AGAUGCCAAUGAACCGCAAAUGAUACCAAUCAGUUUUCUCAAAUUCCAAAAAAAAUUCCUAAUACGACGGAGAACGUCUACCAACAACUUCACAACUCAAAUCCAUCUGCAGCGUCAUCGAUCUCUUUUUUUCAUCCGGUUUCCAUCUUCAUUUGUAUUUUGGUUUUUGAAAUUUGAUGAGACCAGUGAUUCAUGUUAUAUUGGCAUGUUUGUUCUUUUAAGUCACUCUUUUAUAAUCUAGUUAGAAAUAUCAAACUUUAUCAUAGUGAGUUUAAAAUCCCUAAUUUAGUUUUCCCAAUUUCUUGAUUUCACUGUCAAUUGUGUCGAAUUAUUGCUUAAAUGAGAAAUCUUAAUUGUUUCUUUAUUGGAUUUUACCAUCAAUUCUGUCGAAUUUCUUGAUUUUACUGUCAGUUUCAGCAGUGGUUAUGUUUACAGUUGUUGAAAUGUUUUUGUAGGCACUAGCUUUGAUACAGUAUUGGGAAUUUAACUCUUCGGUGAUUGAUUUCGUGGAUUUAUCACUGAACUUCUCUUAGCCAAGAAGUCUCGAAGGAUAAGAUGGCUGGUUAUGAGAAAUACAGACAAAUGAGGAUAGCGGAAAAUCGAUUGAAGUUGCAAGAGAUGGGAGUUAAGUCUAUGGCUUAUGAAAUUAGUCAAUCAAUGAAGGGAAAAAAAAGAACAUGCAACAAUAAGAAAAAAUAUUAAAAGCCGGAUAACGAUGAUGAGUAGACACAUCCUGAAGAUUGUGAACAACUAUUGAUCCACUCUAGUGAAGAUAGUGACAACGAUAAAAGGGAAAAGUGCAUAACAUUGAGGUCUCAAUCUAAAAAGAUUUUAGCACAAAACAUAAAUCCUGCCAUGCUUAAAGACAAUGCAAGUGACCCUCAAAUAGGAAUGGCAAAUCUAGUGAAAAGGCGUCAUCCAAGCUCGAAAAAUGAACAUAUAGAGGAGGAAUCGCAACGGAAAUUUACAACACGAAGUAGAAAGCGACCUCAAUUGGAUUCAGUGAAAACCACGCACCAAUAAAGAGUAUCAAUGCAAUCUAAUCAAAAUCAAAGGUUGUCUAGUUUGGAAAAUCCUCAAUUGAAACAUAAGCAGUUCUAUUGUGCAGAGUAGCAACACAUGACAUUGAGGCCGCUAGAAAAUGGAUGCAUAUGACGAGAUAAUAACAGAUGGAAUACAUAUCAGAUAUAUGACUAUUAGAUCUAGUUUUAGAUUACCAUAUGAAUACAUUCUUGUUGGAUGAUUUUUAGUUUUAUUUAUGGAAGUAGCACUAACAGGUGUACAAAAUUCUAUAAUUAUUAUAAUAUAUUUGUCAAUUCAUAUAUUAA